CAUUCGAACAUCGCUGCUCAGAGUGACGACACAUCAACACAUUCAUCGGUGGUGCGCUUUUGAUUGUGUGCGUUUAAUUUUGGCGAUUUGCGUAUCAAAACAUUCAAAAAUGUGCAGGUCGCACACACUCAAACGCGAAUAAAGAUGAUCACAUCGAACAGCUAAUCAGAGUGAUGGAUGCGGUAUUGACACGGCGACUUGAGUUCAACAGUUUGCCACGUGAGCGUUGGCAUCAUUCAAACACACUUGUCAAUUGAUGCGCAAUUCAUAGUCAAUUGGUUAUCGUCUGUCUUUUUUGUUCUGCACGUAACGCAUUCACUUUCAUAGCCAUUGAUCAUAACCAUCAGGCGCAUCAACGAUUUUUCGCUGCAACAGUGUUAACAACAGCGAGAGAAAGGACAACACUCGUGUGAAUUGUGGCGAGAAAGUUCUAUUGUCAGAGGAUUAUCUAUUGCAUUCCGGACAAAUUUUCGUUUUCUGUGUGAUUAAACAGAUUUAAUCAUGCUAUGGGUAAAGGAGUCGAAUAAGAAAAAUGCGUUGUUCGUGGACAUUUUCAAAUCGAAUAAAUUGCAGCGUCCGGUGAAUUUUAUUGAAUCGAAAGCAUGUUCACCGCCCAGAAAGUCCGAUACGGUUGCAUUGCGUAAGCGAAAGGAGGGUAAUGAGCUAUUUGGUCAACGUGAAUGGGCCGAAGCAAUGGAAAUGUACAACGAGAGUUUAUGCUUUGCCAAAAAUGGAUCAAAACACAUUAGUUUGGCGUAUGCGAAUCGAUCGUCAUGUUUUUUGAACAUGAAACUGUACAACGAGUGCCUCAUUGAUAUUGAAUUGGCCAAAGAAGCUGGCUAUCCAAUGGAUUUGAUGGAAAAAUUGAAUCAACGCAAAGAGGAUUGUUUGAAGAGCAUCGAAAAAGCAGCAAAGUCAUUGCAAAUCUUCGAACCGAAGCUAAGCUAUGAAGCUGACGAGAAAUUUCCGUGCAUGGCCAAUGUGUUGAAGUUCGAGCAAGGUGAUGAUGGUGAUUAUGCGCUUUGUGCGAAGGAAGAUAUUGAUGUUGGUCAAACGAUUGUGGUGGAAUCGGCAUUCGUCAAGUGUCUACUGCGAUAUGGACGCAAAUGCAGCAUUUGUUUGAAAGGUAACACCAAUCUCGUCCCGUGUGAAAAUUGUGCGACGGCAAUGUUCUGCAGUAAUGAAUGCAAGGUCAGCUUUCUGCACAAGUACGAGUGUGGCUUGAGGUACAGCGAAGACGAAUCAUUGAAUGGUGGCAUUUUGGAAGCAGCACGAGCAAUCAUUUUGGGUGUGAAUGCAUUUACAACCGUCGACCAGCUAAUGGAAUUCGUUGAGCAAACGAUCAGUAGCGAUCCAAAUGAAUUGCUCGACUCGUUGAUCGAUGAACAGUCAAAAUAUCGGGCAUUUCUCAAGCUACCACUUGCCAAUGAUGACGAUGAUGACAUAUUCAUUGCUAUCGCUUACUGCACCUAUAAAUUCAUUCUCAACAUCCCGGGCAUCAAAGCAAUUUUUGAAUCGCGCAAACAUCGCCGAUUUUUAAUGCAUUUCGUUACUCAUUGCAUGAAAGUCACAUCGAAAAACUCAUUGCAAGAGGUUCGAGUGGUUCGGCGUAAGGAGUAUGCAUUGGUUUACACUCAAACUGGCGCAAUCACCAAGUACCUUAAGCACUCGUGUGCGCCAAAUGCAACAAUGUCACAAACCAAUGGAAAUCUCAUCUGCGUUACCGUUCGGCCAGUUAAAAUGGGUGAACGCCUGCUCAUUUCAUGCUAUGAUAUGCUAUUGGAUUCUAAGGAAACCCGUCAACGCCAAUUAUGGGAGAAUAAACAAUUCAUUUGUCAAUGCACACGAUGUGAAGGACAUACGGCAACGUUGGCCCAACGAAAACGAAUUGCUUCGGAUCCAGAUUUUCAUGACAUCAUAUUCAGCUAUCCAAUCACAGAGAGCGAUGUCGAUAAACUGCCACAAAUGAUUGCAAAAUGUGAAGCGGUUUCGAGGAAAUACGGCGAUGUGAUAUGGUGCGAUGAAAUUGGCCGUGUUAUCAAUAUCUACAUAAAACUGUUGAACUUUCGUAUGUCAGGCUUAUUCUGAAACUCAUUGCAGAUGAAACGUUACAUUUUAUACUUUAAAUUGUCAUCAUUUGCAAAAAACGGAAGCUCAAACAGUUCGUAUUGUUUGGCAUUUGUUACGCACCCAAUAAUUCUAUGGGUGAGAUUGAGAGUGGAAAUUUAUAUCUAAUAAGAAAUCAUUAAAAAAGAAAUUGUUCGAAAUAUGUCCUACGCUAAGCCAAUAUACAAAAGCAAUUUGUACCUAAAUUCAACGACAACAAGCGAAUACAGAGAUGAAAAAUAUCGAUGAUAUGAAAGUAAGUGGCAAAAUGCUUGAGAGCUCUUAUCUGUGGUGGUAUUUGUGAGAAGUGUGAACGUCAAUGUGUGUGAGAUUGAAAAAGAAAUCAUCUGUACGUUUCGCAUCCGUUUGCACAAAUUGAACGUUUAAUUGUCAAGAGACAUAAAGAAAGACUACGACACAAAGACAAGACGAUUGUAUGAAGAGUAGUGAACUUUCGGUGCUUUAAAUACUUUUUCUGUGUGGAGUGUUCAUUGGCCGGCGACAGAGCGUUUUUUUUUGUUUUAGUGUCAAAAACAGAAGAGUAAGAGCUGUCACAUACAUUAAUAUAAAACAGUGUGAAUUGAAUGAGGAUCUUUUGAAUUAUUGCUGAUUCCAAGAUCAAAAUACAAAUUGUUGCCGUGUUUUUGUGAAUUCAGUCACGCCACUCAACGUUAUCGGUCACUCAUCACCAGCAUUUUUUUGUAAGAAAAUGGCUUCAAACAAUGAAGUGACCCAUUAUAAGAGCAUGUUGGAAAUGAAUGUCAAACCGGAUAUAGAGCAGUUCUUGGAUUAAAUGAUGGAGAUUAUUAUUCACAAUGACCCGUUCUUCUGGGAUUAUUGCUGCGAAACUAUUCGAACACACAUUGAAAGCAUAAUAGUUCGAUUCAUUCCUGAACAAAGAUUGUUUCGGGCACCAGGCAAUGGAAGUUCCGGUGACAUUGCUCGGCAUAACACAAGAGCCGACAGUCAGGCAACAGAUUUUCCGUCCAAUUCUUGGGAUUCAUUCUCAAACGACGCGACUAUUCGGCGCCCUUUGCAGAUCAAUCAAUUGAAUGAAGAAGAAGAAGGAGAAAAACGUGAAAAUGAAACUAUUGCCGUGGUUCCAUUGGAAAAACUGAGCAAAGCCAGCACUUCAGAAGAUGAAGAGACGAGCUUGUCUAUCAACCUGAAGAGGAAAGCGACCCAAUCGGAUAACUCGACGACUCAGAAAAGACAGAAAACGGUGGAGUGUGAUCGAUUAGAUCCAAAACAAUUGAAGUGUCCACUUUGCGAUUUUACAAGCUAUGUGGAUAGCGGGAUGAAGCAGCAUAUGACUUGCCUGAAACAUUUCAAAUGCUGCGUUUGCGACAAAAAAUUCGACGAUAAAAAGAAGUUUAUCGAAAACUUGGAAAUCCAUUGGGGCAAAUUACCGAAUUCGCAAUUGAUUGAAAAAAAUUUGAAUGGUUUAAUGAAACUUCAGCUGACUGAUUGAUGACACAUUUUUUAUGGAUUUAGCAAUAGCGAUCGGAAUUAGUUUUGAUAUUUUUAUAUAUUUAUUCUAUUCAUUAAGAAGAAAUUGAGGAAAAAGUAGCAGAAAAAAAGGAAAAAAACCCGAAAAGAAAAAAAAAUGAAAGAAAAGAGCAAUUUACCGACAAACAUUCAUUAAAUGAUUGUGAAAAAGUAAUAUGAA